CCUACGGGCGGCAGCAGUGGGGAAUAUUGCACAAUGGGCGCAACCCUGAUCCAGCAACGCCGCGUGGGUGAAGCAGGUUUUCGGAUUGUAAAGCCCUUUCCGCGGGGACGCUGGUGACGGUACCCGCAGAAGAAGCCCCGGCUAACUCCGUGCCAGCAGCCGCGGUAAUACGAAGGGGGCGAGCGUUGCUCGGAAUGACUGGGCGUAAAGGGAGAGUAGGCGGAUCGGGAAGUCGGGCGUGAACUCCCCGGGCUCAACCCGGGACCUGCGCAUGAGACGGGGGGUCUGGAGUGAGGGAGAGGGUAGCGGAAUUCCCGGUGUAGAGGUGAAAUGCGUAGAUAUUGGGAGGAACACUGGUGGCGAAGGCGGCGACCUGGACCUUGACUGACGCUGAGGCGCGACGGCGUGGGGAGCAAACAGGAUUAGAUACCCCAGUAGUC
rnacentral:rRNA from 1 species